GGGGCUGAGGGCAGAAGACAGCAUUCAGAUAGUAGGGGAUGCAAGCAGACCUCCAAGAUGUGUGGGGAGGGGUGAGUAUGGCCCAGGUCUUGCUGGAGAAAUUAGACUUUGUGGGGAAGCAUGUAUAUGGGAUUGACUAAGACUUUUGAGCCUUCAAGGCAUGGCCUGAGGUGACUGUGCACACUUUUCUCUGUAGAACAUCCACCAAAUCUUCCACUAAAAUGCCUGGGGACUGAGGAAAAGAAACAGUGGGAGCUGUAUCCCACAUAAGAGAUUUGGGGACUGGGACCUACAGGAAGAAGAGACAGGAGUGCAGCAGCCAGGACAGGCAAAGCUUAAAGCUGAACCACAGGAGCACAUGGUGGAGUCAAGACAAAGGUUCUACAUCAUGAGUUCACAAGUGAAAGGUGGUGGUUAUACCUGAGUGGUAGGCUAGAGUUCUUACCUGGAGGCAGGGAAGGAAGGACGGAACUGGUGUCUUCCAGAGACAGACCAACACCCAGCCCCACUGUCACCUGAGGCGAAGAGCAGGGUGAGACCCCGAGUGGCGGCCUUCAUGAGCUCAGUGUUGACCCGCUGGAUGUAGGCGCUACUGAGGGAGUCCUCAUCAUCUCCAUAACUCACAGUAUGCACAUGUGGCAGGGUUGACUCAUUACUGAGCAGCAUGAGCCACUGCAGGAAGGGUUCCUGUCCCUCAUGCCGGCCUGGAUUUUUUUUUUUUGAGGGGUGGGCACAAGGAUAGUCAUUGGGAAUUGUCAGGAUCUCUCUCCAGUUUAUAGCAUUCCCUUGAGGUAGCAGGGACCAACACCCACCUCCCACCCCCUUCCCCACUGUCCAGUCCUCUUGGCAGUACCAGGGCUACUGUAGACCCAGGUGGAGAUGUUGGCACCGGCACUCAUCAGGUACUGCACAUCUAGACUGGCCUCAAUCCCAGCCCGGCCCCGGCCCUGUUGUCCAACCACGCGGGCUACUGAUGCCUGAUGAGCAAAGUUGCCACCGAAGAGGCGCAUGAACUCAGCCAGGUCUGAGUCACGGAAAUACUGCUCCAGGAACUAUGGAGGGAGUCAGAACAGGGAUCAUGGGUCUGAGGGUGAGUCCCAGGGUGGUAAGGCACCGAGGACACUGAGCAGAGGCUAUGAGGACCCUGGGGCUCUUUGCUUGGCUCACCUGGGCACAGGCUUGGCUGUUAUUGCUGGUGCCAGAGCCCACGUCUUGUGCGGUCAAGUUAUAUCGCUUACGGAUCACAUUUGGGGUCACCCCCAGAUGUAUACCUAUAGUCCCUGCCACUUGUGGCUCAGGACGUUGCCUCAGGGAUGAUGUCGGGGGGAAACGGUGCAGUCCCCCCACUGUAGGGAGAAGUCAGGUUUGAGGAGAUCUUACAGACUGUAAUGCCCACUCUACUAUACCCCAUCCCCAGUCCCCAAUGGCAUCUAAACUUCCCCAGCCCCUGGGUCUGUCUGCCUCAACCCCCAUUCACCCCACUGGGUAUUACCAAAGUCCACAUGGGGGGCCAAGGCCUGUGGAAGCUGAUAGGGAUGUGGGGACCUUACAACAUGGGUCUCUGCAGGUCCUCCCAUAUAGUGAUGAAACUCAGCCCCAGGGAGCAGCAGCUCUGCUUGUCUGGAGGUCAGAGAACAGAGGUCAGAAAGCUCAAAACAGAACAGAAGCUGCCUCUGAGCAUCCCUGGGCAGUCAGUCACUGUCUCCCCAUGCAUUAGCUCCCACCCACAAGCCCCAGCAAGGCCUCAGCUCCCUCCCGUCCAUCUCACUGAUGGGAUGACUGGUUCCCUCCAUGGAGCAAUCAUUCUCUCUCACCGGAUGCUCAGCCAACAAGUCAGAAAGUCCUGUGUGAUCACAGAACGGCAGUUCCGGACUCCAGCUGCCAAGAGCCAUUUUUGCACUGUGUGGAGGGUCAGUGGGGAUGGCCUCACCAGAUCAGCCACAUGGUCUAGAGUCAGGUAUUUUCCUGCAGGGAUUCAGAAUAGGCACUCGCCCUCAUUCACUUCCCAAAGUCCUCUCUUUGGACCUCAACUAUGAGGAAUCAGGACUUCCCAAAGCCUGGAACAGGGUAAAGGAGGGCUGUGCAGGUGUAGGGUGUAUUUAGGGAGCAGAGGAAGAAAAGGCUGGAGAGACUUGAAAUGCCAUGGCCAAGAAUAUAUAUUUACCCUAAAGGCUAGUAAGUUGCAAAUCCCAUACCACAGCAUAUAUUGCCAUGAUCAUGAAAAAUGAUUGAGGUUAAUACAUAAUAAAUUUUCCAUUUUAAGCUUAUCUCCAGUAAAUGUUUUCAAAACUUUUGGCACCAGUUAUCCAGUUUAGCUCAGAUUUACAUACUUACUGAUUUUAAACUUAACACGAUGGUGAGUCACUGUUUCCCGCCAUGCACACUAGUGCUCACCUUGGGUGAAUCACACUGCCCCCUCCCCAGCCUCUGCUGUCACAUGUGCACACUCUCCCCUGCUGUGAAGAGCUUUAACUAGGAGAAGGAUCCAAUCCAUUUUGACUGUUGGAGAGACUUUUGAAGCAAAGUAGGGGAGUACAGUGAGGAGGGGUGUGGAAGGAGAAGACUGCAGAUUGGUAGGGGAGCUGGGCAGUAGUCCAGGAGAGGGAAUAAACAACUGAGUUGGUGGUAACAAAGGACAGCAAGAAGUAGACUAAUACAAAGGCUCUCUGGGAGUUAGAACUGGCAGCCUUAGUAUAUGAAUAGAAGAGGAAAUUAGAAUGGAUUCGAGAGUAGGGGGAGGAACUUAAGCUGUACCAGAUGCUAUUUCCCCAUUUGCCUGGUAGCUAGUAAGUAGCAGAGUCAGAAUUUGAGUCCAUAUUUGACCAUAAAGCCUGCAUGCUGAACCAUAUCCCCUUCUAGAUUUCUAGCAUGAGGAAUACAAGUGUCUUGGCAGGCCCUGACAUCAUCACUAUUCCAUGCCCAACCUAGCCCUAUGUCCCUCCACUGCAUCCCACAUCCUGUCCCCAGUCCCAACAGGCACCGUAUUGAGGAGAGCUGGGAUCCGACACAACCUGCACCAGCUCCGAGAGUCUUUCCAGGUUCUGCUGUCUCAGGGCAAAGGUGAGACUCAGCUCUUCCUCAGGGUCCGCACGGCCCAGGGACACCCAGCCUGAGGGCAGCCUGUAAGGUUAGGGGUCAGGGACAUGGCUUUGGUUGGGGAGGAGAUGGAAAAUAUUGGUUAUGGAAGGUUCCACAUUAGGAGCUGAGACCUUGGGUAGGAUCCCUAGGAGCAGAUACAGAUCUCAUGAGGUAAAUGAUAGGGGACUGAGCCUGGGAACCUGGAGAUGAAGCUAUGGAGUGUGUACUACGAGCUGGCACAGGGGUGAGGGAAGCUAGGACCAGGACAGUGGGAGACAGAACAGGGCAUGGGGAAGGGGGCGGUCUUUGCUAAGUCAACUCACGUCCUUUGCUGGUCAGGCUCCGGGCUGUAACUGCAUUUGCCAGAGAGGAUGAGGGCAAAGAGCCCUAGGAGGCUGUAGGAGCAGCAGGUGGUUUUCAGUGGGAGCUAGAUUGUCUUUGUAUUCCCACCUUCCCAACAUGUACUCCCUCCAACGUUAUCCCUUUCUCCCAAGCCCUCUCAGUUUCUCACCAGGCUUGGAGUCCCAUUCUGCCCUUCCGCAGGUCUACUGUCAUGUGACAGAUCACAUGAGCCUUAUAUUCCACCACCGCCACCACUUUCCGCCUAGCAACUAGUGACGGUGCUGGCUCCUCCCUUGCAUGGGUGGUCCUGAAUGCUAGGCAAGGGUAGGGCUGCCACUCGGAUUCUCCCCUCUGGCCAGCCAAGCACUAAGCCCAGGGCUCCCCACCUGCGUCCUGAGCCUGGUCCCCUGGGAAUCACUAUAAGUGAGUAGGCUCUGGAGACCCACAGACUGGGGUUCUUCCUAGGUGUGUAUCAGCAAAAUAACCUCUCAGAGCCUGGUUUCUGCAUUUACAAUAUGGAGACUUAUAUAAGUGAUCUGCCU